rnacentral:tRNA from 1 species
GCCUGGGUAGCUCAGUGGUAGAGCAGAGGCCUGAAAAGCCUUGUGUCGGCAGUUCAAUCCUGCCCCCAGGCACCA